UGUUGCAGCAACUUGGUAAGAAGGUUUUCUGCUGUAGAAGCUGCAAAAUUUUUUACAGAGUGGAUGGAAAAUGGUGAUAGUAACAUUUCAGAUGUUGAAUUUGAUAUUAGAAAUGUUCCAGAAGAAGAUUCCUUUGGAACAGAUUCUAGCAUAGACAGCAAUUUUGCUAAAAUAGUAUAUAGUACAGCUUGUCAGAAGGAAGAUGGUAAGGUUUUGUGUGUGAACCAAGGCAAACAAGGGAGUGUUUUUCUUUUGUCAAAAAUGGCAACAGUAAAUGGAUUACCAUGGAGCCACAGACACAAACGAAACGUUCAGUUCCUACCAUUGUCAGUAAAGCUGCUGGCUGUGUUGGAGUGCAGCAACAUGAUUUCAAAGAGAAUGACUGCUGAUGUUGUACACCCCCAAAGAAAUCACCACCACAACCUUGAGGAAACGUUGAAUCAGUGCUUCUGCAGUGGUACCAGCACUGCCAGCGGUCAAGGAGCUAGGCCUGGAGACACCAUUCUUGUUAUUAAUGGCUGUAAUUUCUAUGGCCCAACAGGCUGGCUGCACCACAAAACUCCUCCGCAUUAAUUGUGCUUCCCCUUUUGCAUACUUGUCAGUGGCCACUCAUAAAACACUGUGUUCAAUUUGAAAUUUUAAUAACUGUGCAUGGCACAAUCCAUCAGUAGCAGCUUAAAUUACUGAUCUGGCUGCAUUUCCAAAAGGACUUUUAAUUAAUUGCACCUCCUUCUGUCUUAAUACAAACCUGCUGAAGUAGAGUCUCUUUAACCACCACCCAUGCCACUUUACAUCAACCAUAUGACACCCAUACAACCAAUCCUACAUCACCAAUUACAACCCCUCCUCAGCUCUCCACCAAGCAUAUCCCACCAUUGCAAUCAACACUGUUCUACCCUACAUCAUGAACCAUGUGACACUCAUAGAAUCAAACCCAUCAAACCCUGUGCCAUUAACCAGGUCUCACCCAUACAUCACCAACCAUACCUAACCUAUGUAACUAACACCAAGAACAAUACAUCCAUACAAUGAAUUCUACCUUGCUGCACCCUACCCUCAAUGGGACUGGAUGUUCAUGAGUCCAGCCAAGGCUGAUCAUAUUUAUUGAAAUGGCUUCCCUUGAACCCCUCUAUGACACCAUGGGCCAAAGAUCUGAGCUCAAAGAUCAGUUGGAGGAACUCCCUAUGACUCUUCUGCUCCCCCAACAAGGUUGUGAAGAGCAACCAGAUCCUGGCAGAUCAACUGCUAUUUACAGUUUUCCCAUUUUGACUCUUCCUCAUUGUGAUUCAACAUUGUGAUUCAAAACCACACUAAUAAACACCUGUUGCAGACAGCA
rnacentral:lncRNA from 1 species